rnacentral:rRNA from 1 species
UACGUAGGGGGCAAGCGUUGUCCGGAGUCAUUGGGCGUAAAGAGCGCGUAGGCGGUCCGGUAAGUCCGCUCUGAAAGCCCGAGGCUCAACCUCGGGAGGCGGGUGGAUACUGCUGGGCUCGAGUACGGAAGAGGCGAGUGGAAUUCCCGGUGUAGCGGUGAAAUGCGCAGAUAUCGGGAGGAACACCAAUGGCGAAGGCAGCUCGCUGGGACGUUACUGACGCUGAGACGCGAAAGCGUGGGGAGCAAACAGG